GGGGGUGUGGCUCAGUUGGUAGAGCGUUCGCUUAGCAGUCCAGCUUGUUUGAGAUGAAGAUAUAUCUUCUGAAUCAAGCAGCAUGUCCUGCGAAAGGUCCUGAGUUCGAUUCUUAGCUCCUCCA